GAUAAACGCUGGCGGCGUGCAUAACACAUGCAAGUCGAACGAUGAAACUUAAAUGAUCUCUUCGGAGUGACUUUAAGUGGAUUAGUGGCGGACGGGUGAGUAACGCGUGAGUAACCUGCCUUGCACAAGGGGAUAGCCGUUGGAAACGACGAAUAAUACCCUAUGAUAUGAUAGUCUCGCAUGAGAUUAUCAUCAGAGAUUUAUCGGUGUAAGAUGGACUCGCGUCUGAUUAGCUAGUUGGUGGGGUAACUGCUCACCAAGGCAACGAUCAGUAGCCGGCUUGAGAGAGUGUACGGCCACAUUGGGACUGAGACACGGCCCAGACUCCUACGGGAGGCAGCAGUGGGGAAUUUUGCACAAUGGGGGAAACCCUGAUGCAGCGACGCCGCGUGAUUUAGAAGGCCUUCGGGUUGUAAAAAUCUUUUGUAUGGGAAGAAAAUGACAGUACCAUACGAAUAAGGACCGGCUAAUUACGUGCCAGCAGCCGCCGUAA
rnacentral:rRNA from 1 species